rnacentral:rRNA from 1 species
GAUGAACGCUAGCGGCGUGCCUAAUGCAUGCAAGUCGAACGAGGCCCUUUGUAUUCGUACGAAGGUGUCCUAGUGGCGAACGGGUGAGUAACACGUAGGUAACCUACCCCGAAGAGGGGGAUAACCCUGGGAAACUGGGGCUAAUACCCCAUGUGCUCCACGGUAUUAGAUGACCAUGGAGUAAAGGAGCAAUCCGCUUUGGGAGGGGCCUGCGGCCCAUCAGCUAGUUGGUAAGGUAACGGCUUACCAAGGCGAUGACGGGUAGGGGGCCUGAGAGGGUGGUCCCCCACACUGACACUGAAACACGGGUCAGACACCUACGGGUGGCAGCAGUAGGGAAUAUUGCCCAAUGGACGAAAGUCUGAGGCAGCAACGCCGCGUGCGCGAUGAAGGCCUUCGGGUUGUAAAGCGCUUUUCUGGGGGAAGAGGAAGGACGGUACCCCAGGAAUAAGUCUCGGCUAACUACGUG